CCUCCAAUUCCUUCGCUACCCCCACAAUUCUUGCUUGUUGGAUGUCGGAGGAGUUUGAGGAGAGAUGGGAGGAAGAAGAUGAGGAGGAGCUUCUGCUUGAGCAAAGAGGAGGGAGGGAGAGAGAGAAUGUCCUGUGGUUGGCCAGUGCAGCUGCUGAGAGGAGUAUGCGUUCUUGCUCAUGACUCAUGAGGUCCACGACAGUCAACCGGCCGGGAUUCCACGGAGGAACGCGGCGGAGGAAGCCACCAUGGGAUGGAAGGAAGCCCUGGGAAUGGCGGUUUGUGGGGCCUCUCACGUGCGUGGGGCGGCGCGGCACGUGCGGCCACACCCCGCUUAAUUCCCUGGGCGUCACUGUUUAGUGCUGCCUUUCCUGUUCUCACUUUUUCUUCGUGUGCGCCAUAUGGCACCUGCUUCUUGUAUUUUCGGUGUACUGUUGUUCUAUGUAAUUCCUUUCUUCACCUAAGCACUUCAAUGGUAUAGUUUGAACCAAAGAUAAAGCAAACUUUAAAUUUAAAACUCAAGUAUUUUUUU